AGUCUGAUGGAGCAACGCCGCGUGAGUGAAGAAGGGUUUCGGCUCGUAAAGCUCUGUUGGUAGUGAAGAAAGAUAGAGGCAGUAACUGGCCUUUAUUUGACGGUAAUUACUUAGAAAGUCACGGCUAACUACGUGCCAGCAGCCGCGGUAAUACGUAGGUGGCAAGCGUUGUCCGGAUUUAUUGGGCGUAAAGCGAGUGCAGGCGGUUCAAUAAGUCUGAUGUGAAAGCCUUCGGCUCAACCGGAGAAUUGCAUCAGAAACUGUUGAACUUGAGUGCAGAAGAGGAGAGUGGAACUCCAUGUGUAGCGGUGGAAUGCGUAGAUAUAUGGAAGAACACCAGUGGCGAAGGCGGCUCUCUGGUCUGCAACUGACGCUGAGGCUCGAAAGCAUGGGUAGCGAACAGGAUUAGAUACCCUGGUAGUCCAUGCCGUAAACGAUGAGUGCUAAGUGUUGGGAGGUUUCCGCCUCUCAGUGCUGCAGCUAACGCAUUAAGCACUCCGCCUGGGGAGUACGACCGCAAGGUUGAAACUCAAAGGAAUUGACGGGGGCCCGCACAAGCGGUGG
rnacentral:rRNA from 1 species